rnacentral:lncRNA from 1 species
UGCUGGAUGUUCUUGGAUGAUGUCUGCUCCGAUUGUAGGAUUUGAGAGAGGAAUCUUAAUAUCCACACAACAUGGCUGAUAUUGGAGUAGAUUUGAAUGGCCAGCAAGAAGAUGAGAGUGUCUUGUAAAGUUAUGCAUCUGCAUAAGAGAAAACCAGUAUUAGGUAGCAGUUUGCUCGUCACAUGCCUCAACGAGCAAAAAAGGGAAGUUUUCUUGCACAAAAGUAGUUUGUAUCUGAUGUAAGGUUGCGCUGAAGUAGACUGUAUAAUCUGACUAAUCUUGGUUAAGUGCUCUAUGUUGGGAAUAAAAACCCCUACCAAAAUAAUAUUCACGGUAAUAACAGCGGAAUAAUAAUGUAGCACCAAGAUACGGCAAUUAACAAGAAUAAAAGAGUAACAAUGACACCAAGAUUUUCACUGGAAAACCCUUUUGAAUAAGAGAAAAAACCACGGCCCCGAGAGAAGCAACUGAUAUCACUAUAGUAAGGAAUUUUUACACUUUGUAGUUCUGAGUAAAAUACUCCAAAGACCACUACAUAUCACCAUAGUAAGGAAUUUUUACACUUUGUAGCUCUGAGUAAAAUACUCCAAAGACCACUACAACACCCAAAAGAAAUAGCCCUCUUUUGAUAUUCCCACCUUACUACAAUAUCGCUCACUCUAUAUUUUUCUCACAGAUUAUUUUCUUAUACCUUGUCUAUGAAACCUUGCUCUUUCUUUCUCUCUUUGUUGGUGUAUCAAAAUGAGAACCGAAGCUCUCAUUUUAUAGGCAAAGAUUAGGAAAGAGCAGCACACCAUUUAUGACAAUUCAGCACACCAAAAUUGAAAAACAAUAAAAAAACAUGGGUUGCUGCUUUAGCAGCCAUUAUUGAAAAACAAGGAAGAAGUUUCUUCCUUGAUAAGUGGGUUGGACCCCACAAAUCUCCCCCUCCAGUCCCAUUUAUCUAGAGGGAAUAACACCGCAGUUUCUAGUUUGAAUGCAUGCCGACAAGUUCUUUACAUAGCUCGAACUUGUUCAUUGGUACAACCUUCGUUAGCAUAUCGGCGNN